GUGGGGAAUAUUCCGCAAUGGACGAAAGUCUGACGGAGCAACGCCGCGUGAGUGAAGAAGGUUUUCGGAUCGUAAAGCUCUUUCGUUAGGGACGAACGUGCUCUUUGUGAAUAAUGAGGAGUAAUGACGGUACCUAAAUAAGAAGCCACGGCUAACUACGUGCCAGCAGCCGCGGUAAUACGUAGGUGGCAAGCGUUGUCCGGAAUUAUUGGGCGUAAAGCGCGCGCAGGCGGGAUAUCAAGUCUGUCUUAAAAGUGCGAGGCUCAACCUCGUGAGGGGACAGAAACUGGUAUUCUUGAGUGUCGGAGAGGAAAGUGGAAUUCCAAGUGUAGCGGUGAAAUGCGUAGAGAUUUGGAAGAACACCAGUGGCGAAGGCGACUUUCUGGACGAUGUCUGACGCUGAGGCGCGAAAGCUAGGGGAGCGAACGGGAUUAGAAACCCGAGUAGUCC
rnacentral:rRNA from 1 species